GAUGCUGCUCUCCAGCGAAGGUCGAUCCACGUCAGCUCCCAAGAGGGAGGAAAGCGAGCAGCGCACAAGCACGACCCGUAACUUUGCCUCCGUGCCGUUGAACCUGGCAGCGCUCCUUUUGCCCUCCCAUUAAAAUGCCUGCUGGCUUCUCCCAAGUGGGUCAAUAAGGUAUCAUUAGAGCGUCUCAUCGGACGGCCCCAGAACGAAAACAACAAGACCACAGCAGAUACGAGAAAACCAUGAGGACUAGCGGCGGGGUGCUCCUCCUGUUCCUUCUGCAGCUGAGUUCGCCUCAUGUCUUAGAAUGGACGUACAAUGGUAA